CGAUUCCCAUCCAUGGCUUUUGCAAGGUCCGUUCUGCUCAUGCUCCUGGUGCUCGCCAUGGUUGCGACACUUGCUCCCGCGCAGCUUGCUCCCCCGCCGUGCUCCCUACCCAAUCUCCAGGGCAUUGUGAGGUGCAUCAUAAGAGCUAUGGGCGAUCCAACCAAAAUCGCAGAGUGUUGCAGUCGCUUGCCGCCCACUUGCUCUUGCAGCAUCCCCUUGGUGAAACAACUCCUCCCUCAGUGCUGCCCUUGAGCUUCAACGUUCAAAGGGAAGAGGAGCGCAGCUGCAAUGCAAGUAUAUGUACUCCUGAAUAAGGGACUCGAAAUGAAGCAAUAAUAAUCUAUAUCAAUGUUCUUAUUGAUUA